AUGAGGCAGUUGGGUUUUGCAGAUGCAUUUGUGCGGCUGAUUAGUGAGUGCAUAAGGACGGUGAGGUUUCAGUUUAAGGUGAAUGGGUCAUGUACGAGCCAAGUCAUCCCGGGACGUGGUCUGCGUCAAGGGGAUCCGAUUUCACCGUACCUUUUUCUUCUCUGCGCUGAGGGCCUAUCCGCGCUCCUUCACCAUGCCGAGUCUACGGGUCAGAUUAAAGGGAUCCAAAUUGCACCCACAGCUCCUGUGAGUCAUCUUCUGUUUGCGGAUGAUUCGUUACUCCUUAUGGAGGCGACACCCGAGAGCAUUGGCGUUAUUAAUCAGAUUCUGCAUGUCUAUGAGAUGGGUUCCGGUCAGGUGAUAAAUAGGGCAAAAUCUGCAGUUUUGUUCAGUAAGAAUACGCCUAGUGCAAAGAAGCAGCAGCUGCUUGAUCUUCUUGGCCUUGACUUUGAAUGUGUGCAGGGGAAAUAUCUUGGUCUGCCUAGCUAUGUUGGCCGCUCACGUCAAAGGUGCUUUGAGUAUUUAAGGGAAAGAAUCUGGGAAAUUUUAAAGGGGUGGAAGAUCAAACUGUUAUCAAGGCAGCCAAAGAGAUCCUUAUUAAAGCUGUUAUCCAGGCAGUUCCCUCUUAUGCGAUGUCUUGUUUUGAUCUAA
rnacentral:rRNA from 1 species